UACGGAGGGGGCUAGCGUUGUUCGGAAUUACUGGGCGUAAAGCGCACGUAGGCGGCUUUUUAAGUCAGAGGUGAAAGCCCGGAGCUCAACUCCGGAAUUGCCUUUGAGACUGGAUCGCUUGAACGUCGGAGAGGUGAGUGGAAUUCCGAGUGUAGAGGUGAAAUUCGUAGAUAUUCGGAAGAACACCAGUGGCGAAGGCGGCUCACUGGACGACUGUUGACGCUGAGGUGCGAAAGCGUGGGGAGCAAACAGG
rnacentral:rRNA from 1 species